CGGAGGAAAAGAAACCAACAGGGAUUGCCUUAGUAGCGGCGAGUGAAGCGGCAAGAGCUCAAAUUUGAAAUCUGGUGCCUUUGGUGCCCGAGUUGUAAUUUGAAGAAAGCUAUCUUGGAUUUGGCCUUUGUCUAUGUUCCUUGGAACAGGACGUCACAGAGGGUGAGAAUCCCGUGCGAUGAGGUGUCCAUUUCUAUGUAAGAUGUUUUCGAAGAGUCGAGUUGUUUGGGAAUGCAGCUCUAAGUGGGUGGUAAAUUCCAUCUAAAGCUAAAUAUUGGCGAGAGACCGAUAGCGAACAAGUACAGUGAUGGAAAGAUGAAAAGAACUUUGAAAAGAGAGUGAAAAAGUACGUGAAAUUGUUGAAAGGGAAGGGUAUUAGAUCAGACUUGGUAUUUAGUUAUCAUUGCUCCUUGUGGGUGGUGCUCUAGCUUUCUACUGGGCCAGCAUCAGUUUUGGUGGCAAGAUAAUGACAAUUUGAACGUGGCUCUUCGGAGUGUUAUAGCUUUUGUUGAUGUUGCC
rnacentral:rRNA from 1 species